GGUCCUGCCUGCCCAGGUCCGCGGUAUCCUAACCGUGCAAAGGUAGCGUAAUCACUUGUCCCCUAAAUAGGGACCAGUAUGAACGGCUAAAUGAGGGCCCGCCUGUCUCCUUUGGCCCCCCAAUGAAACUGAUCUUCUAGUCCAAAAGCUAGAAUAAACCCAUAAGACGAGAAGACCCCGUGGAGCUUUAAACAUACGCCAGGAACUCCCUAACGGCCCCUGUUUUAAGUUGGGGCGACUACGGAGAAACAAAACCUCCACGAGGCACACAUGCCUUGACCCAGUACUACUGACUAACGAACCAAGUUACCCCGGGGAUAACAGCGCAAUCCCCUUAAAGAGUCCAUAUCGCUAAGGGGGCUUACGACCUCGAUGUUGGAUCAGGACACCCAGGCGGCGCAGCCUCUGCCAAAGGUUCGUUUGUUCAACGAUUAAAGUCCUACGUGAUCUGAGUUCA
rnacentral:rRNA from 1 species